GUAAAGAACAGAUGUCAACCUACGGCUGCUGCUUCCAGUGGGCCUUGCCAGGUGAGUGCAAAGGUGGGCCUCGCCCAGCAGUGCCUGCUCUUUCCUGCCCUCUGCUUCCAUAGUUUCUCUUUCUUGGACACCCACCCACUGGGAAGCCAACAUGGAGGGCCGCUCAAGGGUGGGCCACAGUGACAGCAUAAUGGGGCGGGGUGGCGUGGAGCUGGAUGCCCUCAGCUGCCCUCGCCACACUUCUGUAAAGUCCACUCGCAGCUUUUCUCCUCUGCACCCAGCCCCACCCACCACUUCCUCCCUGAGCUCACAAGCUACUUCCCUCUGCAAGCACUGGGUGACUGUCACCCCCACAGCAGGAAUUGCAGGUCCUGGAGAGACAAGCUCACGAGGAAAUGGUGACCCACUCCAGUGUUCUUGCCUGGAGAAUCCCAGGGACAGCGGAGCCUGGUGGGCUGCCGUCUAUGGGGUCGUACAGAGCUGGACACGACUGAAGUGACUUAGCAGCAGCAACGGGUCCUAAUGGACAGAAAGGAGAUGGGAAAGGAGGAAAAAGAGAAGAUCGGAGGAUAAAAGAAGAGAAAACUCUUAGGAGACCCGGCUGCUUUCAUGCAAGGCCCGAGUUACAGAGAUGAAGAGGAUGCAUUCCGUGCCCUUGGGUUAGAGCCUAAGAGAAGACUCAGGAAGGCAAUCUCAUUCUUCAGCGUGACAGUGAUCGCCACCUAACUUGUCGAUGACUCUGAAAUCUCUCACCUCAAACCCCAGCAUCCACCUGUCCACUAGCCACCUCUAUCUGGAAACCACUCAGGACACAGACUAGCAGGAGCAGCUGUUGCCUAAGCACACUGGGCAAGUGUUUGCAUGGGGGACUGUGCAUGAAGCUGUAACUCCAGGCUGGUAACUGUUCGAUAAGACACACAACUGAUGCAUCUAAGUGAGUCAUUAUCUUCCCAAGCACUCAUCUUGGUCGUUUCAAAUGCUGUCCAAAACUUGAAACUGGAUGCAAGGUUGGAACUGCGGCUCACUGAGCCUGAAGAGCACCCUCUCUGGGGGUGGGCACAAACAAUGGAAAAGAUUAAAAGAAAGGUGAUUUGGAUGUUACGACUACCCAGGGAACUGAGACUGAAGCAACUGUGCCAAGCAAGAGUGGACUAUAUAGAUGUAAAAUCCUAAUGUUACAUGACCUUUCUGUUUAACUUUCAAGUGAGCAGCACACUGCAAUAUCAUGACAGGAUCAUCGCUGUUGACCAGGAAGCUGUCUACAAGUAGUCAGAUGAGAAUGGAGAAAUUACAGAUACCACUGUCUUCAAUUAAAAUUUCUUCUUCCUGCUCUGAAAAUAAGUUUUCAUAUUUUAAAGGAAAAGUGCCAGAUCUGUGCUCCCUCAGUUCCAGCUACGGCACGCCAUGCACAUGCACCAAGUCCAUCCUGGAACCCAAGGGAAAUGCUUUGCUCUCUUUCAUCCAACCAAUCAUUUAUUCAUCAACCACCUAUUUUUAUCCUACAUACCUGUCAAGAUC
ensembl:lncRNA